CAGGGAAUUUUGCGCAAUGGGCGAAAGCCUGACGCAGCGACACCGCGUGGGGGAAGAAGGCUUUCGGGUUGUAAACCCCUUUUCUUGGGGAAGAGGAAGGACGGUACUCAAGGAAUAAGGAUCGGCUAACUACGUGCCAGCAGCCGCGGUAAUACGUAGGAUCCGAGCGUUGUCCGGAUUUACUGGGCGUAAAGGGCGAGUAGGCGGCCUGUUAAGUCUUAUGUGAAAUCUCCCGGCUUAACUGGGAGGGGUCAUGGGAAACUGACAGGCUUGAGGGCAGCAGAGGGAAGCGGAAUUCCCGGAGUAGUGGUGAAAUGCGUAGAUACCGGGAGGAACACCAGUGGCGAAGGCGGCUUCCUGGGCUGUUCCUGACGCUGAGGAGCGAAAGCGUGGGGAGCGAACCGG
rnacentral:rRNA from 1 species